GUGGGUGUGAAAUAUUCACUGCAUGAAGGAAUGGAACUUACCCAGUGGCUUGGAGGUCUCCUGCAGUAAUGAAUCUUCUCAUAAAAGGAUCCUCCCCAUUGCCUCCCCUUGCCUGAGCCCAACCCACAAAUGGAGCUGGACUUGCCUCUCAUCCACAUUGGCCAGCACAAGUCCCCUAGGUUGGCUUGGUGGGAUGGUCAUGGUCCUCAUGGACCCUAGUCCCUGCCCAAGGCACAGGCCUGUUGGGAGGCAGGAACCCUUUCAUUCAUAAUUUGCUAUUAACCCCUUACAUUUGUUUCCUAGGGCUGCUAUAACAAAUAACCACAACCCUAGUGGCUUAAAACAACAGAAACAUAUUCUUUCACAGUCGGGGAGGCCAGAAGUUCAAAAUCCAGGUGUUGGCAGCAUUGUUUCUUUCCAGAGCCUCUGAGGGGAUAUCUGUUCCACACCUCCCUUGUGGUUUCUGGUGGCUGCUGGCCACCCUGGGCUCUGCCCAACUUGAAGCUCUAUGAGUCCCAUUUCUGCUUCCACCUCCAUGAUGCCCUCUCCUCUUCUGUCUGUAUCUCCUUUUCUUAUAAAGACCCCUGUCGUUGGAUUUAGGGCCCAUGAAUUAAUACAGCAUUUUUUCUUAAUUACAUCAGCAAAGAUCCUUUUUCCAACUCAGUUCAUGUUCACAGAUUUCAGGUGGACAUGCUGAGGAGGGCCACUGUUCCAUCCAGUGGGGCCUUAGAGCAGUAUGAGUCUAUGGCUCAAGAGAGAGGUUCCAAGGUAACUUGUGAGGGCACAAGGAGAUAAAUCUGGUUGGGAUACUGCACUGGGGGGCAGUAGGAAAUUUUCCAGAAGUGUUUGGGCCUUGGAUUUAGAUUUUUUUACCCCUGAGACUGUAGACUCAGGGCCCAGCUUUGAAGUGAUGAUCAGGGGCAUAUGGGCAUUCAUCUGGGCCUAGAAACAGAGCCCACCAUGUUGGCGAUGGACCACUGUGACCACCACCUGCCCCUGGAAUGGUCCAGAGCAGUGCUGUCCGGUAGCAUUUACUGUGAUGAUAGAAAUAUUCUUUAGUAUUGAAGCUGUCGGGCAUGGUACCUAUUUGUAUCUGUUGAGGUUUUGAAAAGAGCUCAUGCAACUGAACACCUCCAUUUUUACUUCUACUUAAUUCUAUUUAAUUUUAAUUAAUUUAAACUUAAGUAAGCCUCUGUGGCUGGUGGCCACUGCAUUUGCCAGCACAGCUCUGAAAUGUCUCAAUCUGACCCUUUCCCCUGGUCUGUUCUUCAUUUCACUAUCAAAAAUAAAUUUCAUCAUAAAGAGCUUAAAUUGCUUUUUUGCUUUUUUUUUAUGUGUGUAAUGCUUAAAGUUUUAACUUUUGGCUGAGAGACAGAGGCCAGAUGGAGUUGACUUGUUUUAGACCUAAUACAAGAAAGUGUGGCUUACUCUUGGAAGAAAAUGGAAAGGAGGGGUGUUUUCCUAUUGACACUUUGUGGCUGACAGUUGCCUGGUAGUUAAGCUGGAAGAGUAGUGAGAGAGGCCACAGUGAAAUCCGUCCCUACUGGCGGUGAGGAGGUUGUCUGGCAAGGUUUCUCAGAGCCAGAAGGAAGUGGUAAGAGCCCAUAGCCCAUGUCCACUCCUCUGGCCCGUUUUGGGGGUCUGUGAGUUUGGAGCUUCUUUGCUUUUUUCCUGUGGCUUCUAGAGAGCCACAGAUACAGUUUAGAUCUCAUAGAGCUCUUUACCCCAAGCUACUCCUUGUUCUCCUGCUUCCCCCAGAUGGAUGCUGUAUACUGUCUUGCUUUAGAGUAAAGAUAUUUAUUUUUGCACACUGUUUAGUCAUGAUCUUAAGCAACACUUCAUUUAUUUACACAUUUGCAUGUUUUUGACUCUUCUGGAUGAAAAAUCAAGUGUUUUCCUGCAAGCAGAAAAUCUCAAAGGAGUCGGUGAUGGUGUCUGCAUCAGCUGGACAUAUGUGGGCUCUCAGCUCAUCUUUCCCCUUUCUCCUUGCUUCUUCCUGGUAUGUGCUAAUCCGAUGUGGUGGCUCUGGGGCAUGAAGCUCAGUGCAUUGGCCUGCCUCUGUGCUCAUGCUCAAUGGGAGCCCGGGACUUGAGGCUGGAAGUCGCAGACCAGCACAGCCGAAGGUUCGGUAAUGCAGGCAGAUGAGCCUGUUUCAGGUGGGGUGGAGGAGAGGGCUCAGGGUCACACUCACACGGCGCUGUGUAUGUGUCAGACACAAAUGAGGGAUUUAGAUGCGAGGAGGCUGAUGAGUGUUGCUAGGCAACCUUUCCUCUGGGUCUGGAGGUAACAUAAUCUCUGGGAGCAGCCUGGUCGGAGGGCCUCCUCGGGACAGAGCUGAACUUCUGCUCCUGUCUCCGCUGGCCUGUGUCUAGGAGGGGGCGGGAGGUCCGCAGAGCCACAUUGUUGUAGGAGCUGCUUGGAUGCCAGAUGCAUUCAUAGAUUCUGUAUUUUUUCUAUGCUCUUUUUCUUAAAUUGAUGUGUACCUUGCCUUACACAAAAAAGGAUCUGAGGUGCUUUCAGAAACACAGAUGCAGCAGCAGGAUAAACAUGAAAUCAGGGUAGAAGCUAGGUAAAGGGAGAAGAAGGGUGAGGACAGGGGUGUGACUGGUCAGGCAGCAAGCAAUUCCUUAGUAUUGGCCACACGUCUGGCUCUGUGGAUAUAGCAGGAGCCCAACUGCCAUCAGCCCUGGGGUUCCUGCUUUCCUGGAGCAAGCGGUGUUGCAGGAGAUGUGUUUGUUUUUGUUUUUGUUUUUUAAAACCCACAGGUCCAGUGGCUCUUCUUAGCUGUAGACUACAGAUUAGACUCUGAGCCUCCUU
rnacentral:lncRNA from 1 species